UACGUAGGCAGCGAGCGUUGUUCGGAAUUACUGGGCGUAAAGAGUGUGUAGGUGGUGUCGUAAGUUUGGCGUGAAAUCUCCCGGCUUAACUGGGAGGGUGCGCCGAAGACUGCGAUGCUGGAGUAUGGGAGAGGAAAGCGGAAUUCCUGGUGUAGCGGUGAAAUGCGUAGAUAUCAGGAGGAACACCUGCGGUGUAGACGGCUUACUGGACCAUAACUGACGCUGAGGCACGAAAGCGUGGGUAGCAAACAGG
rnacentral:rRNA from 1 species